AAUGAGCACAUGACAGAAGAUAUGUUCUGCCAUGAAUUCCAUCUCGUGGAUCUAAGGGUUAUGGAUAAUUGCUUGAAGGUUACAAAGGAUAUAGACCAUGUAUUUAACCUUGCUGCUGAUAUGGGUGGGAUGGGCUUCAUCCAGUCCAACCACUCUGUCAUUAUGUAUAACAACACAAUGAUCAGCUUCAACAUGCUUGAGGC
rnacentral:misc_RNA from 1 species